AGUGUCCCUAUGAGUGAUUACAGUGAUACCCGGACAACUUCUAAGCUGUGGCCAUGUUCACGGCUUUGUUACUGCUGGGCACAAGAAGCAUGUUCCAACUGCACGAACGCCACACACGGCGCCGGAAAUGAAGACCCACUGCACCGGACACUUACUUAUCGAUCUCGGAAAUCAGGAGCGAGAGCCGGAAACUAGACUGUCCUGCUCGGGAGCUUGCCCGAACAGCGUGUUGUAACAACGGCUAAUUAUAAGGCGGUCACAAAGCCAGCUCAUUAUAGUGCUCCCGCUAAAAAUAGCCCUCUCAACAAUAACAUGGCUUUCAGUAUUGAACUCAUCAAGGCGGGAGCAAGCAUAAAAAAAUGAAAAGACAGGUGAAAAUACACAUGCAAUGUUCUUGUUAGCGCAA
rnacentral:lncRNA from 1 species